rnacentral:rRNA from 1 species
GACGAACGCUGGCGGCGGGCUUAACACAUGCAAGUCGAACGGAAAGGCCCUGCUUUUGUGGGGUGCUCGAGUGGCGAACGGGUGAGUAACACGUGAGUAACCUGCCCUUGACUUUGGGAUAACUUCAGGAAACUGGUGCUAAUACCGGAUAGGAGCUCCUGCUGCAGGGUGGGGGUUGGAAAGUUUCGGCGGUUGGGGAUGGACUCGCGGCUUAUCAGCUUGUUGGUGGGGUAGUGGCUUACCAAGGGUUUGACGGGUAGCCGGCCUGAGAGGGUGACCGGCCACAUUGGGACUGAGAUACGGACCAGACUCCUACGGGAGGCAGCAGUGGGGAAUAUUGCCCAAUGGGCGGAAGCCUGAUGCAGAAACGCCGCGUGCGGGAUGAAGGCCUUCGGGUUGUAAACCGCUUUAGCCUGUGACGAAGCGUGAGUGACGGUAAUGGGUAAAGAAGCACCGGCUAACUACGUG